CGUGCGGCGUGUGUCCAUUUUGCCGUUUCCGCACUUGCAUGUGCCAAUUUUGCCGUUUUACUUAAGUUAUACAUGUUAGUGGCUGUUUGUGAUAUAUUGUGAUGCAAUCUUCUAUUUCAGACGAUGAUGGCCUAUGCGGAGCCGGUGGGGCCUACUACUAGCUACUCUACGUGACAUAAAUUGAACACCUUUUGAUAUCUUUGUUUUGAACAGGGGACGACGCGGGGAACUCCUUGGCACAUUCACUAGUAUAGUUAGGUGUGCUUGUAAUAGUUGAAUAGUUAAGAUGUUUAUCCUUAUUUUAGUGAUCUGUAUAAGGACCCUUCUUCGGGUUAUUUUCUGAUUUUGGUCAUAUCAUAAGGUGAGGUAAUAGUUGGAUAACUUCUUUUGAAGAUGUAUAUCGUACUCUUUUGGUUUAUCUAGUUUUUAUUGCUUUAA